AUAAUUAACUGCUAAAAAAUAUCAACAUUUACCAUACAUAUUUAUAAAAAUAGCAAUAUUUCCUUUAGCAUUAGAAUAUUAAUUGUGUGCCAUAUGUUUGUUGCGCUCGCAGCCACUAGAGGGCGCUCUCACACUAGCUCAAUGCCAGGUGUUGUUAAUGAGGCUUUAGUUACAGGCGCGAUCAAUGAAAGCUGGCCAGGAGAAAAGGUCCUUCAGGUCAGUGUUUGAAUUAUACUCUUGAUUGAGAUUUAAAAUAGCAGAGAUUUCCCAAUUUAUCCCAGAUAAACCAAUAAAAAGUCAUUUUAAAUAAGCACAAGUAUUUUAGUUAUCAAGUGUAGGAUUAGGCUGUCUUGAGAGAAAAGAUCUGUUUCCUCUCUGGCCCCAUCACUAACACAAUUUAGGGUGAACCAUACUUAACAUGUCUGGAGGAAAAUGGCUUAAAAUAGGUAACUAAGACUGGAAUGAUUAGAUUAGAUUCUUGACUACACUCAGAAUGAUUCUGAGGCCUGAAAUGUGUAUAAAUGUGCUGCUGUCAAAUUAUAUAUGUGUGUGUGCUGUAAUGUGAAAUGCUCAAAUUACCAAGAUCGUUUCCUUCCAGUUUAAUGAGCAUAACUGUGUGUUUUCCUCAUUCUUAUUAUAUUUCUGCCACAUAAUUUGAAUAUGUGUAACAUUCUCAGUUAUAUGAAUCCGACAAGCGAGCUAUUUUGCAAGAAACAUCAAUAUUCUGGUUUUCUUAAACGUACUGUAUGGGGUUUAUAUAAGAUUUUCUGCUCACCUAUCAUGUCAAAGUCCUAAUAAAUAUGAAAAAGCUGGGAUAGUUCAGUCACCUUAGUUCUAUAGAGUUCCUUAUUGCUUGGUUUUGGGCCUUCAUAGUGAUCUAUGUCCAUUUUGCUGGUGCAGGAAUCGGAUGCAGUGUGGAAGAGGAUGAUGAAGAGGACUGCAGAACGAUCCCCUGCUGCUUCGGACACAUUGGUUGAAGGACAGAGAGAGGGGGAAAGCCAUGUAAAGAGAGAGGGACCUUGCACCUGUGGAUAGAGGAAUACGGAGGUAUAGCGGGGCGCACCGUCCUUCCUUUGACAGUGUUUGAUUAAGUGGGCUUAAUCUCCUGUGGAUUGUGACGCAAACUGGGGAGAGUCAACAAGAGCACCAUUUCUAUUGUGUUUUGAAGGUUGACACCGAUUUUAAGUUUCUCAUGUACUUAGGAGUCAUUUAAAAAAAAAAAAGAGAAAAGAAAACUGAUAGAUGUGGUCUUUCUUUUAUAAAACAGUUCAAUGAGCAAUAAGUUGAUAUUUAGUAAAGAUGUGGCUCACAUUAGCUAAAUUUCAGCUAAACAUGUUGUUCGUGUAUUAUCAGUAGUUUAGGUGUAUGCAUGAUGUAAAGGUGACGCAGAAGUCAGUUUCAAAUCAAGCAGCUGUCUUUUGGUCUACAUCACAUACUCACAUGACCAGCUUAACCUGCUGCAAAAUCAGUGUGUAAAAAAAUCUUUCACCUUCACUCAAAAUUCCUGAGUGCAUGGAAUUCUAUUAAAUUAUUUUUUUUUUUACAGUAUCAAAAUGGAACUAAUCGGUUGAGUGAAUAAUUCAAUGACUCCCUCAAAGACAGUGGCUGCAUCUGAAAUCACAUACUUCCCUACUAUACAAGUAGGUGACAAGCAUUAUGUGCAAAUAGUAGUACUGUAUGUCUGAUUUCACAGUAUUCAUAAAACAGUAGGCAAAACAUUCAAGAAUGACCUUCGUGAUUUAUUGACAUUCGUGAAUUAUUCAUACUAUACACAUCCAUGCUAUGUAAAACAUACUUUUUAAAAACAUUGCAAAGUAAUCACUUCUUCUAAUUACGUAAUUAUGUGAUUUCUGACUCAUCCAGUAUCUUUUUGUUUGUUUGUUUGUUUCUGAAUGAACUGAGUGAGUGAUUCAUUGAUUCAUUCAUAAGGACAUUUACCUGUCGCCACCUACUGGUGUAACUGUGUAAUCCAUAGAAAGUGUCAAUUAAAAUAAUCUCCAAGUCUGUGAUCAGAAAAAUAAAAAUAAAUCUUUGAAAUGUCAAAAACUAAAAUGUUUACACUG
rnacentral:lncRNA from 1 species